GAUUAACGCUAGCGGCAGGCAUAAUACAUGCAAGUUGAACGGCAGCACAGGUAGCAAUACUGGGUGGCGAGUGGCGCACGGGUGCGUAACACGUAUGCAACCUACCCUAUACAGGCGAAUAACCUUUAGAAAUGAGGGCUAAUACGCCGUAGUAUUACAGAUGGGCAUCUAUUUGUAAUUAAAGAUUUAUCGGUAUAGGAUGGGCAUGCGUCCCAUUAGUUAGUUGGUAAGGUAACGGCUUACCAAGACGAUGAUGGGUAGGGGAUCUGAGAGGACUUACCCCCACACUGGUACUGAGACACGGACCAGACUCCUACGGGAGGCAGCAGUAAGGAAUAUUGGGCAAUGGCCGCGAGGCUGACCCAGCCAUGCCGCGUGCAGGAAGACGGCCUUAUGGGUUGUAAACUGCUUUUAUACGGGAAUAAUAGAGUGUACGCGUACAUUUAUGCAAGUAUCGUAUGAAUAAGCAUCGGCGAACUCCGU
rnacentral:rRNA from 1 species